rnacentral:tRNA from 1 species
GAAGGUAUAGUUCAGUGGUAGAGUGCAUGCCUAGCACGCACAAGGUCCUGGGUUCAAUCCCCAAUACCUCCA